AACUAACGCUGGCGGCGUGCCUAACACAUGCAAGUCGCACGAGAAAGUUGGCUUCGGCCGAUGAGUACAGUGGCGCACGGGUGAGUAACGCGUGGAUAAUCUGCCCUUUAGUUGGGGAAUAACGUACCGAAAGGUGCGCUAAUACCGAAUAAUACUGCACAACUACUGUUGUGUAGUCAAAGAAGGCCUCUGUUUACAAGCUUUUGCUGAAGGAUGAGUCCGCGUACCAUUAGCUAGUUGGUAGGGUAAUGGCCUACCAAGGCGACGAUGGUUAGCUGGUCUGAGAGGAUGAUCAGCCACACUGGAACUGGAGACACGGUCCAGACCUCCGUACGGGGAGGCACG
rnacentral:rRNA from 1 species